CUUGAUUCAGCGGCGGACGGGUGAGUAAUGCCUAGGAAUCUGCCUGGUAGUGGGGGACAACGUUUCGAAAGGAACGCUAAUACCGCAUACGUCCUACGGGAGAAAGCAGGGGACCUUCGGGCCUUGCGCUAUCAGAUGAGCCUAGGUCGGAUUAGCUAGUUGGUGGGGUAAUGGCUCACCAAGGCGACGAUCCGUAACUGGUCUGAGAGGAUGAUCAGUCACACUGGAACUGAGACACGGUCCAGACUCCUACGGGAGGCAGCAGUGGGGAAUAUUGGACAAUGGGCGAAAGCCUGAUCCAGCCAUGCCGCGUGUGUGAAGAAGGUCUUCGGAUUGUAAAGCACUUUAAGUUGGGAGGAAGGGCAGUAAGUUAAUACCUUGCUGUUUUGACGUUACCGACAGAAUAAGCACCGGCUAACUCUGUGCCAGCAGCCGCGGUAAUACAGAGGGUGCAAGCGUUAAUCGGAAUUACUGGGCGUAAAGCGCGCGUAGGUGGUUUGUUAAGUUGGAUGUGAAAGCCCCGGGCUCAACCUGGGAACUGCAUCCAAAACUGGCAAGCUAGAGUACGGUAGAGGGUGGUGGAAUUUCCUGUGUAGCGG
rnacentral:rRNA from 1 species